rnacentral:rRNA from 1 species
GAUGAACGCUGGCGGCGUGCCUAAUACAUGCAAGUCGAGCGAACGGACGAGAAGCUUGCUUUUCUGAUGUUAGCGGCGGACGGGUGAGUAACACGUGGAUAACCUACCUAUAAGACUGGGAUAACUUCGGGAAACCGGAGCUAAUAUCGGAUAAUAUUUUGAACCGCAUGGUUCAAAAGUGAAAGACGGUCUUGCUGUCACUUAUAGAUGGAUCCGCGCUGCAUUAGCUAGUUGGUAAGGUAACGGCUUACCAAGGCAACGAUGCAUAGCCGACCUGAGAGGGUGAUCGGCCACACUGGAACUGAGACACGGUCCAAACUCCUACGGGAGGCAGCAGUAGGGAAUCUUCCGCAAUGGGCGAAAGCCUGACGGAGCAACGCCGCGUGAGUGAUGAAGGUCUUCGGAUCGUAAAACUCUGUUAUUAGGGAAGAACAUAUGUGUAAGUAACUGUGCACAUCUUGACGGUACCUAAUCAGAAAGCCACGGCUAACUACGUG